AGUGAACGCUGGCGGUAUGCCUAACACAUGCAAGUCGAACGAGUGGCGGACGGGUGAGGAAUACAGCGGAAUCUACUCUGUCGUGGGGGAUAACGUAGGGAAACUUACGCUAAUACCGCAUACGAUGGAAUGAGCCGAUGUCGGAUUAGCUAGUUGGCGGGGUAAAGGCUCACCAAGGCGACGAUCCGUAGCUGGUCUGAGAGGAUGAUCAGCAACACUGGAACUGAGACACGGUCCAGACUCCUACGGGAGGCAGCAGUGGGGAAUAUUGGACAAUGGGCGAAAGCCUGAUCGAGCCAUACCGCGUGAGUGAAGAAGGCUUUCGGGUUGUAAAGCCCUGUUGUUGGGAAAGCGGUACCCAAAGAGUAAGCACCGGCUAACUUCGUGCCAGCAGCCGCGGUAAUAC
rnacentral:rRNA from 1 species